CAACAGCUCAAAUUUGAAAUCUGGCUCUUCGGGGCCCGAGUUGUAAUUUGCAGAGGAUGCUUUUGGCGCGGUGCCUUCCGAGUUCCCUGGAACGGGACGCCUUAGAGGGUGAGAGCCCCGUACGGUUGGACACCAAGCCUCUGUAAAGCUCCUUCGACGAGUCGAGUAGUUUGGGAAUGCUGCUCUAAAUGGGAGGUAAAUUUCUUCUAAAGCUAAAUAUUGGCCAGAGACCGAUAGCGCACAAGUAGAGUGAUCGAAAGAUGAAAAGCACUUUGAAAAGAGGGUUAAAUAGCACGUGAAAUUGUUGAAAGGGAAGCGUUUGCGACCAGACCUUUUCCUAGCGGAUCAUCCGGUGUUCUUCGCCGGUGCACUUCGCUAGGUCGAGGCCAGCAUCGGUUUCUGCCGGGGGAUAAAAGCCCAGGGAACGUAGCUCUUUCGGGAGUGUUAUAGCCCUCCGCAUAAUACCCUUGCGGGGACCGAGGACCGCGCUUUUUGCAAGGAUGCUGGCGUAAUGGUCGUCAACGACCCGUCUU
rnacentral:rRNA from 1 species